AUGAGUAUAAUGAUUGAUCCUUGUUCACAGACACUCAGCAAGAUCAACGGCAGAUCUCUCCUAGAGCACAGGCAUUCCUGAGGAUGAAGCAGUGAUUGACGGGGAGGAACAAAUAAAGCCUGGCCAAAGGUGACCCAGACCAUGCCUCCCACCUUGUCCCUCUCUCCGUGUCUAAGGGAUGUUUGCGUCCGUGGUUGCACAAGGGGAGCUCGAGCCAUGCUGAGUGGAGAGGAGACCAUUGGAGAUAAAAAUAGUCCCUGACCUUUAUUCUUCGUUUGACAGGAAACUGAUGAUGCUGCCUAUACAGAAAUCAGUUAAAAAAUGAAAAAUCUAUUUGUUGAUGAGAUAUUUUCCACAAUAUCAGACAUUCCCUCUUCCUGCCCGAAGAAGUCCCCUUUGAAGAAUGGCUCUGCUGGGGAGCAGUUUCCCCUCAGACCGGCUCCUCCCGCGGCAGGACUAAAGGAAAGAACUGGAAACGCCGCAAGAAUGUCCUUUAAAGCGAUAUUCCAGCACCACGUGAGGGGAGGAUGAAAUAACGGCACAAGAUCCAUUUCCUGGCUGAGGUUUCCGUGUGGCCCCCAUGUCAAUCCUGUGAGGCAACCAGGGAGGAGCCAGUCUCCUGAGCCUUCUGCUUUGGAAAUGCAUGUGGCACCGAGAGAGACACGGUUUUGUAGCUCGUUACUGGCAGGGCAGGAUGACAAGGCUUCUGAGUGCUUCAACUAUCUGUGAAUGGAUGGGAAUCUAUCUCCAGCCAAACCCUUAUCCAAGUGUCUCUCAGCCUGGAGUUCCAAUCAGAGUCACUCAGGGGAUGAGUAGUGUAGCUUGAAACAACUCCCCAGAUGCCUCCACGGGCAGCGGAUGUUUCCAUGGGCAGCAAGGUGCACUGUCUUCUCCAUGUGUCUUGGGGGCUCUACACCAUUGCCAGGGACAGCUGCCCUUUGUGACACCUACAGAAGGCUAGCUGAAGCCACCUGGUCUGUAUUUCUAGGGAAGGCAGUAGGUAAGAGGCUGAGGUAAGCAAAAAGGUGUUCUUCCAUGCAGAUAAUUAGAGAAUUAAAACAACAUUUUUGCUCUUUUUCAAGCUAGACAAGCCGUACGGGGAAGAGAAAAUGUGAGAUUCCCUUCAGAGAAGGUCGGUCUGAUUGGUGCCCUCCAAUUAAUUAAUCCACUAGUUAAUUAUUUUGAGGACUGGGGCUCAAACUUAGGGCACCACACAUGUUAGGCAGUUAUUCCAGUAGUUAGCUACAUCUUAAGCCCCAUAUUUAAUUUUUUUUUUAAAAAUUUGAGAUAGGGCCUUUCUAACUUACAAACUCAAACUGGCCUUAAAAUUGUUCUGUAGCCGGGAAGAGCUCACUAUGCCCUGUCUCGGCCUCUCGAGCCUCUGGGAUUGCUGUGCCAUGCCACCAGGCUCAACUCUGACCUAUAUUUUAAAAUCCCAACCUCUUGACUUCUUUUCCCAUCCCGUUUUGCCAGGAAUGAUGGAAGCUGGAGGGAAUGGCGCUGUGGCCUUAAACACACCCCGAGCUCUGGAGACCCAGUGAUACGGAGAUCUGCCGAGGAUGGCUGUUUAAGGUGUCAGUCUAGUUGAUAGCUGGAGCCAAGUGAACCCCCUCAGCUGGGAGUGGGAGGCCCCAGGGGUGGGUAGCAUGGACUACGCUUGGCUCAAAGGAGCAGUAGGCUCCACAGCUGGCUCAGAAGCAUGGCUGUGCUGUCAGUGGCAAGCUAGUACCUGUCAAGUGUAAGCAGGACUUUGUCUUGUCUCAAACUUUCUCUUUGAUCGCUUGCUAAACGCAGGCAGUACAUCAUAAGCAAAAAGUUGUCAAUUCAAAGAGAAGGUGGGCCUGACAUUUCUGCUGGGCCCCGCGUCCCUUCCACUUAGCUGAGCAGGGACCCCACCGUUCAUCAUGGAGUAAUAGAUGAUUGAUUCAACUGCACCCCGAUUAGAAAAGGCUUCAUUUUACUUGUGCAUGGUGCAUGGAAUUAGUUAAGGGUUGCAUAGGAAAGAAGUGAUAGACUAUUGUUCACACUAAAUUAUAAUGACAGCCUUCCUAACCACUGUGUAUUUAUUAUGUAAGAAAAGAAAAUGUCUGGUAAAAUUCUGUAUAGGUUAAUAACACCUUCAUAAUCUACUCCUUCUUUUCUGUUGACUUGAAUAGCCCUCCUACCGACUUUUAAUGGAUUAUUAGAGUUAAUUACAUCAAUUGCAAUAUAAUUGAUUCUUAAAUACUAUGUAGAAACCUCAUACAAUUAUGGAAAAACAAAAGUUAUCCAGACAUCUCAAAUCAAAAAAGAUUUGGAAUUCCUGCGCAUUUAAUUCCUGAUAAUCACCAGUCAGUUUGGACAUUAAGAUUGCAUGGUGUCUUGUUUUCUCUUUGCCAGGUUUUGACAGAAUUGAUAGUUUUACAACAUUUAACUCAAUACGCAUGGAAAUAUAAGAUUAAAGCUGUGAGAGCUAUUUUUUUUUUCCUAAAAAAAAAAGAUCACUUUAUGGCUCAAAAGCUGAAAUGUGUUACCUGCUUCACGGUGACAGAAAUAAACUCAAGGGAAAAAUCAAAAGCGAGUUGAUGCUGGGCCUUAGAAAUCUCUUCUCCACAGGCAUACAGCUGAAAUGCCAUCCUACUUCCAAGCUUUAGUGAACUGGAUCAGCCCGUGGUAUCGUUCUUGUGAAAGGAAGACCCAUGAAAGAGCAACAAAACCCAGCUUCUUUUGCACAAGCCCAGACACAUCAUAACGGUUCUCAAAGCAAUCAGAACAUCUUAAACAGUGCCGAGUGCUCAGGGGCAGCAGAGAAAUUGAUUAAGCAAGAUGAGAGUCCAGAAGCAGACCCAGGACUGCAGAAGAGUGCUGCUGUGAGUGUGGAGUGUGGAGGCAUUUCAGAUCUGUGGCUGAACACGUGCCUGGUGCCGGGACAACUGUCUCUCCAUCUGGACUUGCACUAUACACAGAAGUAAAUUCCAGAUGGAACAAAGCUCUGAGCUUGAAACUCACAUCUAUCUCCAGAGCAUUGCAGACUGAUCACCUGUACAAGCCAAUCAUAUACACGUCAGUGCUGUUUAAGCAGGUCAAACACAAACGCCUUCCUUGUUCUGUCAGUGGAGUACAAAUGCCUGCAGGGGUUAUUGCAUGGAUGAGGUGAAUGAGCAUUGAAAGAUGCCUGGAAAACAGUCACUGUUAAAGAGACAUAUGUCCCUGGAAUGGAAAUGACAACAUUGACAUUGAAGAAUAUCAGUGCCUCAAUGAUGGUUCCUUUUGCCUCUUGUGUGUGACCUGAGCACAGAGCAGGGGCUCCUGGUGGCAGGACCCAGUCAGUGGCAGCUUUAGGAAGCACUUGUGGCUUGAAGGCAGAAGACUUUGUGAUGACUCACAUUGCUUAAAAAACCUCAUGUCAAUGAUUCUAGGUGCUUCCUACAGAUGAGAAGCUAGAGGCUUGGAGAGACCGACAAAACCAUGCAGUGGGGCCAGGACCUGAAGCUGGUGUCUCCAGCAGUCACAUGCGUGGUUGGUGUAACCAUCACGGCAUGUUCUGGUCUUCCUUUCCCUUCUCCGAAGUUUUACUGCAGUCAGUUGACCCCAUUGCCUUUGGCUGUGUGGAGAAGCAGGACGUGAUGGUGGCAUGGAUGGCUCUUUUCAUGGCGGCAGGAAGCACAGAGAGCAAUGAGAAGGACACACUCUGCUGACUCAACUUUCUUCCAUUAGGCCCCACCUUCUUCAGACCGCUGCCUCCCAGCCAUGGCACAGGCUGGAUCCCUUGGGACCCUUCAGGCAGUGUGCAGCUUCUGCUCACACAUAUCUUCUCCUAGGAUGCUUUUAUUUGAGGGACCAUCCUCGGUCCUAGUGCAGGGUGCUCACACCCUCCACUGUCAUUCCUCCUGAGGUAUUUUCUGCAUAUCAUGUCCCUCCCACAGUCAGAGACGUACACAUCUAACCCAGGAAUCCUCCCUGGCAGGUUUUGGUGUGGUCUGAAACUUUCCCUUUGAAGAUGAAAGCAGCUGUGGUUCCAGAUGCUGAGCCUCCCGGGUCCUCAGCUCCACAAGGUGUCUUGUGUCUUGAAACGCAGGUUUCUCAUAUGGGAACUUGAGGAAGGUUUGAAGACACAGUUGGUCAUUAGCGUCACCUGCGGUAACGUGAUUAGCAUGAGUGGUUCAAGGCUGAGGGCGAUCUUUAAGAACACCAGCAGAUCCUCACAGCUGGAGGUCUGCUGCCCAGGAGAGACAGUCCAAGCACUGUUGUCUGAGCUAACGAGAAGGUCAGGGGUCCAGCGUCACUUGAGAUAAAUUACUGAAGGAGAGCAACUGGCCCAGAGCGUGGCUGGAUUUCUUGAAAAGAAACUCACCACUGUUGUGUGACUCACAGAAGAGGUUUCCUCACAGGAACACACACAGGUUCACACAAGCUCUCGUCACGGUAGCCUUGUUUCUGUCUGGUUGGGUGUUUUUUGGUUUGUUUGUUUGUCUUAUUGGCUUAAUUAAAAAUAAUAUAAUCGUUGGGAACAAGUAAAAGAAACUUAUUCUAAGCACUACCAUUUAUUUUUCAGACCCCAUUUAAUCACAGGAAGAAACUAAAUUCAAGGUCCCAGGCCCUAGGGGAGCUGGGGACUUCCCAAUAGCUGAACCGCUUCUGUUGUAAGGAGACAGUUGUCUGAGUCUAGACAUCUCAAGCAAAACUUGUAAAGAGACAGUUGUCUGAGUCCAGCCAUCUCAGGGACAACUUUUCCAUCUUGCUGGCAGGGUCAAACUAGUUCAUGUUCCCAGGCCCAGGAAUGAGCUCCUACCCUGACUGAUGGACACCCCCUUGCUCAACCCCUUAUGUCAGAUUAUGACUGGACAAUGCUACAGCCCACCCUGCUCCUCCUCGCUUUAUGGUUUCCUCCUUUAAAUAUGCUGUACAACAUCCUUCAGGGUCGCAGUUCGGCUCCUGAGUCUGUUCUGUGGCCCUGAUCCACCAGUAGAGUCUUGAUUACCAUACAUGUUUGUCAUCUGCAUUGACCCGUGUUUGAGUCAUGUUAGAUUUAAGCGAAUCCCAUAACACUCCUAAUCUCCAGUCUCUGGAUGCGUGGAUCUGUUUUGUGGGUCUUUUCCAGAAUACUCUAUGGAAAGACCCAUUGCAGAGCCUGUUGGAUCUGGUUUCUCUCACCUAGCAGACUGCCUUGGGAUGUAUCCGUGCUGUUGAACGUGUGAAGUUUGCUCCUUUUUCAUUGCUGACUGAUACUCCAUUGUUUAUCUGUUCACUUGUCGAAGGCAUGUAAGGUUCCUUCUGAAGUAUGACAGACAUUUCUGUGGAACAGUUAUGUGGCAUGUGUUUAUCUCCUUUAGGUACAUAUCCAGGCAUGAGUUUCCUGAGUCCUGGGCUCCAUGUUUUCUUACCAUUGCCAGAAAUUCACAAAAGGCACUGUGCUGCAAUCCAACUGGGAGUUUGUGAGAAUUCCAUCUGUCCCACAUGCUUGAAUUCAUCAUGGCCAAAUUUUGAGAAACAUUUUUAACAUUUCAAAGGGGCCAUGAAGGCCUUCUUAGUUUUGUGCUUCUGAAAGAUCAUAGACGCUGGCCUUAUCACCUAGCUUUUUUUCUCCACCAAUGGUGCUGAUCUUCAUUUCUGUAUUAUCUUCUAGAAAGCGUGUAACUUGAGGAUUUCUAUUUACCUUCAUGUCUAUGACCCUUUUGAAUUUAUCUGUGGAUAUAAUAUCUAUCCAGGUCCUCUCUCUUCCAUAACACCCCCCACACACACACACCGAGGAAUAGUUUAUGAUGACCUCUGACCUACAACCCCGGCCCUUCCCUUUCCUUCCCUUCCCUUUCUUCUCCCUUUCCCUCCUGCCCCUUCCCCCUCCUUCUAUAUAAACAUCCAAUUGUUUCAGUCCCAUUGGUGGAAAGGCAAUCCUUCUCUAUUAUAGGCUCCAUGUCUUGUCAAGUGAACAGCUCAUCUUUCAUGGUCUCUAUUGGGGCUCUUUGAGAGGGCUGUUUCUAGCAUCUCCUUCAAUGUUCUGUCUUCCACAGGAAGUCUUCCUAUAGGGUGAGGAGUGGCUUGUGUGUGGACAGGGCUGCUCAGCACCUGACUGGGCAAAAGAAAAGCAGUUUUGUCCUGCCGAGAUGAGGACUAACUUCUCUGUUAUUUGCAGUACAUCUUCUGUGUCUAGGAUGUCUUGAUCUUGAAGAAGUGAAGGUAGAGUUCUCUGAGCAGGGCUGUGAAGAGUAAUGAGGGCCCUGUCUGGGGGAGGGCUGGGGGUUAGCCUCAUGAGCACCUAGGUAGGUAUUUGUACAACUCCUGUUUUACUUUGUAGGGAAGACAGGCUAGGGGAGUGGAGGUAGUUAUGAGAACAAGCAUGCUGACAGACUUAAAUUCUGUGGUGUGUGUGUGUAAAUAAUGUGUAUAUUGAGGCCAGAAAAUGAUCUCAGCUGUUGUUCCUCCUUCAAGCAGGCAGACAUAUCCCCCAGCCCUGCCAUCAAUCCUGGCUUUUCUGUGAGUUCUGGGGAUCAAACUUCAGUCUUAGAUCCCGCUGCUUACAAGCCAAGAACCUCAGCAAAUGGGUUGUCUCUGGAGCUGAGUUCCUUGAUGGAGAGCUCGAUCUUCUUGGGUAGGCUAAGAUGCUGCUCACAUCCGUCUGUACCAGCCGCUCUCUCCCAUUGCUUGCUUACUUCCUGCUGUGGGGUCAGACACAACUCAACAGAGCAUGUACUUAGCAUCCAAGUCCCCAUUGCAUUCCUUCUUAUGAACACGAUUGUUUUCCCGUUCUGGAAUGUGUCUCUGUAUCUCAGAGACGCUUUCUACCAUGCCACUCAUUUCUGAUUUUUCAUGGCCUUAAAACCGCCAUCUGGAGCAAGGCUGGGAAGGGCGCUGCAAGAUCCCUCUGCAGGCUUUGGCCUCAGGCCUGCCACCCAGGGCCACGAGAAGCAAUUCCAUCUCUCUCAGAAAGCUUCUUGGAGCCGUCUCCCCAUCUUUGGCAGCUUGACCUUUUGUGCAGGCCCAGCUUUUCCUCCAGGGAAUCUACCCCCUGUUGAUGGACAGUCACCCUUAGAACACUGGGGAAGGUUUGAACCCUAAAAAUGAUUUUGUGUUUCUGACCAAGCUUGCUUUGUAAAUCAUGCUAGCAUCUCUAGUCUAAAUACCAGCAGUGGAGACAGCUUGUGAUUAACCUCUCCCCUCCAAGAAGCAGCCAGCACCAAUGAUUCUUCCUUCUAGAACACUGUAACCAGUUUUUAAUAAAGCCAAAAGACUUCUGCCC